UUGACCUCGGAUCAGGUAGGGAUACCCGCUGAACUUAAGCAUAUCAUAGCCGGAGGAA
rnacentral:rRNA from 1 species